CUCAUUAAGUACUAGAAACAUAGGUGCGUUAGGAUUCCAUAUUCCAGUAAUUACAUAAGCCUUCCCAUCAGAGCUUUUUCCCAUGGAUUCCAUGUCUAGUAAAUGCAUGUCACUGUUCUUCACGUUUCUUCCAGGACUCAGCAGCAUCCCAAAGCAUCUUUCAAUGGCCAGUUCUUUGUUCGAGAGCUGUUGAACUGUAAUCACCACUUUCUUCUCAAU
rnacentral:lncRNA from 1 species